GAACGACCCGCGAAUCGUCAUUGCGUAGUAGACAGAGCCCGUGAGCCCCUAACGCUCAUGGGUCUCGCGUCGCGUCGGCGCGGGUGUACUCGAGACCCGMGUSGUACCGGCGGACAAACAACGUCAGCACGGAUCGUGCCAAGGAGCUGCAUGAAGAGAAUCGUCGUCCCACGCCUUCGAUAGUCCUCGACGCGGGACGGGGGAUGUACGCAAUCUCUACUCAAGUCUAAACGACUCUCGGCAACGGAUAUCUCGGCUCUUGCAUCGAUGAAGAACGUAGCGAAAUGCGAUACUGGUGUGAAUUGCAGAAUCCCGUGAACCAUCAAUUCUUUGAACGCAAGUUGCGCCCGAAGCCAUUCGGCCGAGGGCACGCCUGCCUGGGCGUCGUGAAUCCCCUUGCCCCUAGGCACCCGCAUGAGCAUUGGCGGGGAUAUAUGCUCGGGCGCAGAAUAUGGUCUCCCGUGGGAUCGGCAUGCACGGCAUGUCGAAGGUGCGGUUGGCCGAAAAUCGAGCAUGGCGGUGACGGGCACCACGGCGUUCGGUGGAUCGAACGAGAUUGGCUGCGUCGUGGGCUCGGCAUGCGGCGGGCUCCGGACUUUGAAUUCCCCGAGUGCGAUCCCAGGUCAGGCGGGGCUACCCGCUGAGUUAAG
rnacentral:rRNA from 1 species